UUUGAGGAACUAAUUAUAGGACGAAAGUCUUUUAAGUAUAAGUACUUGGUAAUUUAAAUGAAUUAAGUUCAUCUAAUCCUCACAACAACCCUAUAAAACUUGGUCCCAUUAUUAUGUCUGUUUUAUAAUAGGGAAAACAGGUAAAGUAACUUGCCCAAGUUCACAUCCGGAGAAUCUGGGACUUAAGCCCAAAGCAGAGCUUUUAUUCUUUUGGUCAGGUGUUCAGCAAAGAUCCUGAAGCAGCAGGGUGUUUGGCGUUCCUUGAGGAGGCCAAUUUUCUGGCCGGUGAGAGUGUAAGGAAGAUUGAAGCCAGCUUUGUGAAAGGCUUGAGAGGACCUCCAAAGGACAGUGAUGGAAGAGUUUUUAGGAAGAUAAAUGUGAUCGGCUUAGAGGAUGAAUUAACCCAUAGUAAGAACUCCUUGUGGUCGGCCCGCACUCGCACUUUCUUUUAGCUUCCUUAUUCCGGGAAGGGGCAUGUUGAGAUGGGUUUGCGGACUGUUUCUGGAGCCGGGGCUCCUGAGCUGAGGAAGAACCACCGAGAUGAAGCCGUUCCCGUGUUCCUAGAGAGGAGACGGCAGUGGUUAUUGACCGCGGCGCAGGCUGGUGACGUCAUGCCAGCCGGGAGCGCCGGGGACUAGUUCCGGCGGCCUGGGAGCGCCGAGAUACCCUAGUGUCGCGAGGUUCCUCGGAGCGGCACACCCGGGAGCCUUUGGGAAUCGGUGUCUUUCCAGCCGGGCUGCGGCGGUCCCGCCCGGGCGCCUCUCGCAGACCCGGGGCUGGCCGACCGAAGCGCCUCUUCUUUCGGGGAGCAGGGACCUUUGAAGCGGAGGCCCAGGGGCGGGGCCAGCUCGCCCUGCAGGGGGAAGGGAGAAGGUUGUUCCGGAGCUCUGUCUGGGAGGCGGAGACCUGGGUUCCGUUUGUAUGUACUUGAGCGAGCAAGUGAACUUCCGAGUACUUCCGUUUUCUGAUUUCCAGACCGAAUACUAGUCCACGCUUUGCUAGUUCACACAGUUGCGCGGGUGUAUGUGAGAGUUAUCUGCUUCCUUUGUUUCAGUUUUUCUACUUUAAUAGCGACAGAGUAGGUACUGGAUGAAGACGUAUAGAUUCAAUAAUUUAACAGCAAGUGCUACUUGUUACCAGCCGGUCUUCUCCUAAAUGCGUCCUAUGUAUGCAUUCAUUUAUGUAUCAUCACAACCCUAUGAAGUAGUUAUUUCCAUUUAACAUUUGAAAGAACUGGAGCACAGGAGGUUUCAAUAACUUACCCAAGAUCAUUUAGCUAAUACAUGGUGGAACAGGGAUUCAAACCCAGAGAUGCUAGCCCCAGAACCCAUGCUAUACUUGUCUUCAGGCCGCGUUUAGGAGGAAGACAGAAUAUAAUCAGAGUACUGAAGUGCUACAGUAGAGACGUGUGGAAUUGUUUCCAAACGUUGAGGAAGGAGUGCCUUGGAAAGGUGAAGGGAAGUUUUCCACAAGGAACAGAGGGGUUCUCAAAACCUUUCCUCUUAGGAGGGGUCCCUAACGUCUUCGAACAGACUCCCCCCGUCCUUUGUUGGAGAUUCUGCUCGCACAGAGGCAGUCUUAACCUCUGACUGUGGGAGACUAACUACUGGGGAGUUUCCCUGCUGUGGACUCAGCCUGUUCUCAACAAGAGGUGAUCUCACUGCUGACAUGCAGUAGCUGCUCAGUUAGUGCUUUUCGGAUAAAUGAAUUGCAUAACCGGCGUCAAUCAAAGACAGACUGGAAGGGCUUGAUUUGAGGGUUUUUUUUCCCACCUGUUUUUAGAAUUAAAGAGUCACAGAACGUUAGUGCUAGAGGGAGCACUUUAGAUAUCAUCUUUCAUUUCACAGAUAAGAAAAAAAAAUCACAGUUGAAAUUGAGCGACUUGCUUUAGGGCAUUGAAGAAGUUAGCGGCAGAGGGGAAACUAGAAUCCAGACCUCUUGACUCAGUCCACUGCUGGUCUCACUGUCCUCUGCUGUAGCCCCCGGUGUUUGACUUUUCAAGUCAAUGUCUUCACCAUUAGGUUGAGGAACGGGGUGGGCUCCAACCUUGUCUGUUGUGGAGGAAUUUUUACCCCAGGAUGCUUAAUCCUUAGCAACACCUACCCUCUUUGUGCGUUGUCGAGUCUCUCUGAAGUCUGCACACUCACUGACUUUUUCCUCAUUGGUGAUACUCUUCUAGGAGAACAGUGAUAUUCUUUCGUUCAGACUUAGUCAUUUGGUUAGGCGUAGGCUAUUCCUGGGUCCCCCUGAAUCAAGAGUAUGAAGUAAGUAGGCUGACAAUUUAUGGGUGCUCUCUCUCCUUCCUCCGUGCCCCAGAUUCCUGCCCUUCCUCAAGAGAAGAGUCCCCAGGAGACAAACCAGUGUUGCUUGUGUUCCCAGCGGCUUGUCUCUGGCAACCCUAGCUACCCCCUCUGCCGUCGUCUGGUGAGACCACUCAUUGAACUGCUAACUGAUGCCUUAACUGAUGCUAACUGAUGUGCAGUGGUCAGAUCUGGGAAAAUGAUCGGAAGACCCAUUGCAAAGGUGAUUGUUUCCUCAGAGAAUAUGCAGUGGGCUCCUGGCCCUGUUUGGAACAAGAGCCCAAGUAAUCACAACUGCCAUUGUUAUUGGCCAUCAGAAGGCAACGUGGAGUAUGGGUAUCUGUUAAACUCAGUAAGAACAGCACCGGGUGAACUGGAUAUUAGGUUAUGGGAACUCUGUGAAUAGAUCAUGACUAUUCAUGUCCUGAAGAGUUCAGUCUAGUCUAAUAAAUACACAUAAUAUAUGUACACAUAUGUGUCUAUCUAUGUGUACAUGUAGAAGAAAGUUCAUCAAAAUACCAGCUAUUUUCUCUGGGUAGUAAGAUUUCAAGUACUUUCAUUUCUGUACUAACAACUAACUGUUUUAUAGAAUGAGCAUGCAAUCUUUGUAUGAUAAGAAAAAGAAAAUUUCUUUAUUUCUUUAUUUUUUGGUGAGGAAGAUUGGUCCUCAGCUAACAUCUGUUGUCUCUCCUCUUUUUGCUUGAGGA